CAAGGUGCUCCCGCGAGGCAGAUUCUGGGACUGUGAGGAGCGGAGCGCAGUUUUGUGGAGGGUGUGGGACGUGGAGCGCUGGAAGGGGCGGCGGCGUUAAAGGACAGUCGGUGACGCUGUGUCUUAGCGCGUAGCGGAGGAAAACUAUUGCUGAGUUACGGCGCGAGUAAAUAAAAACCUAUCAUCGUGAACUCUAGGUCGCGCUUUCCCAGGCCACUGCCUUUCAACACCUGUUUUUCAUAUUUCAUUCUGACCCGCCUUCUUGGGUUGUAGGAAAUAACCUGGACGCAAGUGCUGGGACUGCUUCUUUAUGCAGUUCUCAAACAUGUUUCCUAUGUUCUGAUUUUCCUAGAGCUAAGACCACGGUAAAUAGAAACACUUGGCUCUUUCAUAGUUUUGAAUCUAGUGGGGAAGGUGAAAGAUUUUUCUUUUGUUUUUUUGAGGGUUUGCCAGUUCGUUAUUUUUAUUUAUGGAAGAUUUAACUAGCAGUUUUAAUACUAGCACAAAGUAGGCACUUAUUAGAUGUUUUCUUAAUGAAAGUGUGUUUCUGAACAUAUCCUUUCAUAGUUCUAACUUGAUAACCAUGCUCUAUGUGAAAUUACCAAAUAAGGAAGAUAUAGUGUACAAAACUAUCAAGUGCCUAAGGCCAAAUGGCAGGAUUACAUUCUUUUAGCAGUGCCGCUAACUAAUUGAGUGAGUCACUGGUUCAUAGUUGUUUUUGUCUUAUAACAAUAUAUCUAAAAUUAUGAGGUGAUUGGGAUUUCUAAUCUGUACUGAUAAAAAGUAUAAUUACCGUUCAACAUUUGAAAUGUAUAUUUCUAGAAUCAAAUAUGGAAAUUCAGGAAAAUAUGUUACAUAGUUAAUAAGUUAGCUGAAAUUACUAGAGAAAAAUGUUAUAACACUAAUAUGAAUAACAUAACCAGAAGUCAAUAAAAGGUAUAGAAUUGAUUCAUUUCCGAAAAUUGUAAAAAUGGUGACAGAAUCUUGCUUCCACAAUGAUUUAGUAUAAAGCUUAUGGAAGUUUUUUUUUUUUUUUCAUCCAUGUUGUAAGUUGCCCUUGUUGGACUUGACUGGGUGUUAACAAGACAGCUCAAAAGUACCUAACAAGGCCAUGUACAUUCAGUUUUGGCAACUUCCAGGACCAUUUCCAGCUCACAAAAUACCCAAAUUAUGCCUUUUAAUAAUAUAUACAGGAAUUUUACCUUGGAACCUGAAAAUAGCCUCAGUAAAAGAAAAAGACUUUUUUUUUUCUUUUAAAAAUUCAUAUUUGCUAACUCUGUAGUUUAUUUGCUGUCCUGCUGUGUUUGUCCCUGUAGGCUUUCAGAUCUGACUUUAUUUGUAUCAUUCAUCUUCUACAGGUAUCUUACUUAUCCAGUGGGAAGGGAAGUGCCAUCCUUUUCUUAGUUUGCAGGCUUCUCUGACCAAUGGACUUCAAUGGAAUUAGUUUAAAAAUGUUUAUUGUAUCUUCUUCAUUACAACUUUAUUUUUUUACAAUUCUAAAACACUUCUUGCAAAUUUUAGAAAUUUAAAGUAGAAAUGUAGAAAUUUAAAAAUUAAAAACAAGGAGGAUUAAAAACAAAAUUUAUGGGACUGGGAAUGUAGCUCAAUAUUAGUUCUCUUGCCUAGCAUUCAGGGGCCCUGGAGUUGAUCCCCAGCUCUUCAAAGGAAAAAAAAAAUCAUUCUGGAGGCUUGAUCACAUAAUUCAAGUUAAAAUUUUGAUUCGCAGCACUGCAAAACAACAAAUACAAACGUACACAAACUAAAUUUAUAAUGCUGCAACUUAUGGAAAACUACUCCUAACGUGUUAAUUUUUUUCAUGAAUUUUUAUGUAGGUUAGACCAUACUAAAUGCUAGGUUUUCUUUUUGCUCAUUUACUGUGAUUAUCAUUAUUUUACAGUGUUAUGACUUCUUCAUAAAUAUAAUUUAUUUUUUUCCCAGUGCUGGGGAUUGAACCUAGGGCCUUGCACAUAUAGGUAAGUGCUUUAGUACUGAGCUACAUCCUUAGCCCUGUAAGCAUAAUUUUAAGUGGCUAGUCAAUAUUACAGUGUGUCUGUAUUCUAUUUUCCAUAAGUAUUUUGCUGUUCUUUGACUGUUUGGUUAAUUGCUGUGAAUUGCAUCUUUGUGCACAGGAUUUUUUCCAUUCAAAGGCUGGAUUUGCAUGCUGCAAAGAAUGUGGUGCUACUGAGCAUUCUUUUACUAAUUUGUGUAGAAGAAUUUUUAUUUUAUGACCCAACCUUUAGCAAACUUAAGGCAAGUGAAUUGGCGAUAUUAAUACAAUGUAGUAAAUUUAUUUCAGAGGUAGGUUUUGUUUGAUAUGGCAGCACCCAGUAAGGAAAGAAGGGAUUAAACAGGAAGGUUUUUUGAAGGAAAUGUGUCCAGGUACACUCUGAAGGAGAAGUAGUGGUUGGCUUAGUGAAGAACAGAGGAAGGUCUCCCAGGCAGUGGAGACAAUAUAUUAAAAAACUGAGCAUCAGGAAAAGCCCAGGAACUGCAAGUGGCUGAUACAAGUGAAAGCUGUAUGGGAAGCAAGAGGAGAGACUGAAGUAGUGGGCAGGUUUUAGAUCAUGAAAGGCUUUGUGUAGCAACUGAAGAGGUGGAUUUCUUAAUGACAAUAGAAAGUCAUUAAUGAAUGUCUGUACAUCAUCAGUGUUUGCUUUUUAAAGGUAAUUUAAGUUAGAAGCAACAUAGCUUUUUUACUUAUAUGAAGAAAGGAGGGUCCAUGCAAUGAUUUUUCUGAAGAAGUGAUAAUAUGCAGCUUUAAAAAGAAAUAUAAAAUGUGAGACAUCAUUGUAUUGUGGGCUGAAUACCAUGGAACUGGAUCAAGGAUCCAUUAAAUCCAGACAUAGAAUUUGGAGUUAGGUAUAAGGAUGGAUUGAUGAAUAAGAGAAGGAGAGGAGGGGCUCAAUAGUACUUUACUGUUUAUCCUGUGUAGUUCUAAAUGGUUGCUAUUUAGUGGCUGUAUGUGAAGGUAUAGUAGCCCAUAAUCCCAGUCCUUGGUGAAACGAGUCCUUGAUUUCGAUGAUGAAAAGUGUAUCUAGACAUUUCAAGACUUUUCUUAUGGCUAUGCAUGGUCCUGCCUCUCUUGUCUUAAACUCUAAGACCAGAUUAUAAAUUGAAGCCAUCAUUGUCUCUUGGAUUAUUUUACAGACCACAAAGGGCCUGGUAAGGCUGAUGAAUUCCCCAAAGCAGUCUGGGCAGAUUCCUAGGAUUUUAGGCCACACCAAAGAGUUUCACAUCUUUAUUAAUCUCUUACCAGAUUGCUCUACUUUCUCUCUUGGGGGAAGUCCACGUAUGCAUCCUAGAAGGUCUAUGGAGUGAAUAUAGUAAGGAGAACUAGUCUUUAUAAAUAGCCUUUAGAAUCUAAUUUUUUAGUUCUUUGACUCUUCAGUUCCAGCUUUCACAUUUGUUUCUGUAUAUUGAUUUUAUCUUCUUAACAGAUAAAGGUUAUGUAAGUCAGGUGAAUCCAAGCUUGGCAAUGCUAAAGUAGAUAUUUUUUUGUGUGUGUAUUGCUGUAUGUGACUUUUAAAGAUGGUGAAAGACUUUUGCUUUCCACAGAAUUUCUCAUUGCGUGGUUUCUUUAUAAACUAUCUAUGGAUGUUCAUCACACAUCUGUUGGGUGAGAUGUUUGGGUUUUGAGGGUUCUAAGCCAGCCAGUAACGUCAUGAAAUCGACCACUGUGUCAAUGUUAUGCUUCUGGAUGGUUGUGUCCUUCAACACACAUAAGACACUCAACCAGCUAAAAGAGAUGAGCUCAGAGAUGUUGGCUCGGAGGAAAAGAAGAAUUACAUUGAGGUCAUUGAUUGGGCAUCCCAGCAUCUUUCUGCUGAGGAGAUCAAAAGCUGGGAGCAUCUCAUAUACAGAUAGGAGUCGUUUGUCCCACUGACACAGCCGUGUGAAGUUGUAUAUUAUCACAGGAACCAAUAAGGUGUAUAUUGCUGCACUGGAGAGGCUGACAAUCUGAAAAAUGGAUAGGGAGGUCAGCCUGCAUGUAAUCAGGUCAGGAACAUGGGUUUCAUCAUGUAGUAACCCUGCCUUGAUGGAGCAGCUGAAUUCUUCUUGGAAGAAGACAUCCAGAUGAAAGUGGCCAAGGUACAGGUAUGUGGCUGAGGUAAAGAGGAGCAAAAGGGAGUUCCUCAGGAGGUAGGUGGCCACUAGUGAAUGUGAGCGCUGCUUACAUGCCAGGUACCGCUCUAGUAGGGGGAAUUCAAAGUAUCGUUCUUUUCGGGCCCUGCACAGGGAAAGAAAGGAGGAAAGUUAGGAAGCACCAUAUGUAGAACCAUAUCCCAAGAGUCAUGUGGGAAACUAACAAAUAUGUGCAUUCAUUAUGGAAUUCUUGGUUAAUUGAAGAUCUGCUUUCCCCAAGCAUAACCAUGAUUCUUCUCCCAAAAGAUGUAAGUAUAACUCAUUUCUCCAAGUACUGAGUACAAUGUGAUAAACCUGGGGGAUGAUUGAUGAAUAAUGAACGAUCACUUUGGAUUUUUGCCCAGCAAGUCAUGCACUAAAGCUGUAAGCAGAAAUAGGACCCUUUGGAAGCAAUAGGCUAAUAAAAUUAGCACUGGAUUGGGAGUCUAAAUGUGUUCUAGAUCUUGGCUGUGUACUCUCUGUAUGGUUUUUGGACCAGUUCAUUUAUUUUAUACAAAUGAGUGUGCUGACAAGUAUUUGUUGAGAAUUGUGGUGUUCAGGUAGGUAAACCAGUCUCUGUUCCAAAGAAGCUUAGAGUCUUGUUGUGAGGGAAGGAGUAGACAAAACAUGCAAAUAUUCAAUGAAAUUAACACUUGAUAUGUUGCUAAAUUGAUUGAUACAAACCAUAGUCAUUACAAAAGUUAGGAGAUGGAGUAACAGUGCAGGUUGGAAUGUGCAGAAAACUUUACAAGAGAAUAUUGGCUUAAAGCUGGGCUUCAAAAGAUAGAGGGGAACUUUUUAGAGAGUAUAUAGUGUGUGCAUAAAUGUGAAACAAUAUGAUUUCAAAUCAUGGCUCAAUUAUGGUCACUCUAUUUAAAGCUACUGUUAAUUGUUCAGCUUUCCAGAACCCCUUCCCCUGUUUUACUUUUUCUUCAUACUAGUUAUCAUCCCCUAAUGUAUUUUACUGGUGUGUUCUACUUUUUGUCUGUUUUCCCUCUAGUAAAUAUAAGCUCCACAUGAAUAAUGAUAGCUUUGUUGCCCCCCCCCCCACCAUGUAUCCAAAGCACCCAGUAUAGUCUCUGAUACUCAGAUGUAUGAAUAAUGCACUAAAUAAAUGAUUUUUUUUUCCAGUGGAAAAGAGGGAGACUGCUUAGGUAGAGUGAAAGGUUUCUGUCAUCUGGUUGAGUAUCCCUUAUUUAAAAUGCUUGGGACCAGAAGUGUUUCAGAUUUUGAAGUUUUUCAGGUUUGAGAAUAUUUGCAUAGAUUUUACUAAAAAUACUCAAAAACUUUUCGAUUUUGACCAUUAUGGAUAUUGGAUUUUUGGGUUUGAAAUACUCAAUGUAUAGUUAGUUAGAUGCUUGAAAAAGUAGUUGGAUAUGUUGAAGCAAAUAUUUAGGAGAUUUUGGGUAGUUUUGGUAGAUCUGGGAGGAGCUAUUUAAGGUUUCUGAGAAGAGGAAUAGUGUAUAGAAGUGGGUAUUUUAGAGAGAUUAAUCCCUUUGUGGCUCAGAGUGUUCAUCUGUAAACUGCAGGUAGCAGGCCUUUCUCCUCUCUCUUUACAGGAAUGACAGUUCAUGAGAUGAUGGUAACUUUGCUCCCUUAAGAAAGAUAACAUAGAGGACAUUUUAAAGAUUAUGGUGCAUGGGUACCAUUUUAUGCUUAACUGCAUUCUUCAAGAAAAGACUGAAAAAACAACUCACUUUUCCAGUUCAUCCCAGAAGACAAGCGGGUCAGAGCUCUUCUGCCGGAUCUUCAACAUGUGCUGCACCAGGCGGAUGGAACGAUUAUAGGAUUUGUCUAGUUCGCUGAUGAUGAACAGCAGAUCUGAGCUGAGGGCUGGAACAGCUGCAUACUGCCACAGCAGUACUGGCAGGCCUGAAUUCAUCUAGAAUUGUUUUUUUUAACGAAUGAGAUGGAGGUGAAGGCACAGAAUUUUCCGUGUGUGACUCAGCUCAAUUUAUUGAAAAGAUGAUCCGUUGCUUGUGGUAAUGUACUUUUAUUAUUGCCAUAAAUCAGAAUACUAUCUUCUAGUUAACAGUUUGUCUUUUGGUGCUACUAUUACUACAUAGCUUUAACUACUGUAGCUUUAUAAAAGGUCUGUAAUAUAAAUCUCUCAGUUUUGUUUUUUUCAAGAUUGCUGUGGAUAUUCUUGACAUUUUGCAUUUCUAUAUGAACUCAUCGAUUUCAGGGGGAAAACCUGCCAGAAUUUUUUAUUAGAACUUUUAAAUCUAUAGCUUAAUUUGGUAAAAUUGAGAUCCUUACACCUCAAAGCUUUCGAAUCCAUGAAUGUAACAUAUCCCUCCCUUUGUUGAGUUCUUAAAUUUUUAUUCAUUGAAAUUUUUAGUUUUCAGUGGAUUUCUACACAUCUUCUGUUGAAUUUAUAUUGCUAGAUAUUUAAUAUUUAUUGAUAUUUUUGCUAACUGAAUCUUUAAAACUAUUUGAUUUUCUAAUUGUCUAUAGUAUAUGGAGAUAAAACUGACUUUUAUAUAAUGAUUUUGUUUUUGACAAACCUGUUACAUUUAUUUAUUGAUUCUAAUGUAUAUUCAUUUGGAUUUUCUAUCUAUAUAAUUAUAUCAUCUAUUAAAAAUCAGUUUUUCUCUUUCUAAUCUAUAUGUCUUUAUUUUUCUUGCUUUAUUGCAUUGAUUAGGAUCUCUAAUACAAUACUGAAUGUAAAUGUGACAGUGGAUAUCUUGACUUGUUCCUUAGGAAGAAAGUUUAUAACAUUUCACUAUGGAGUUAGGAUGUUUAUUGUAGGCUUGACUGGGCUGCAGUAUGUAUUUUGAAACUCAAUCAGUGGUUAUUGGCUUAGAGUCUCUUCAUAGGGUGCCAUGGCAACUGAUUUUUCCAGUGCAGGUAAUCUGUCAAAGAGAGAGAGACAAACACACACACACACACCAGCUAGCCAUAAUGCCUCUUGUGACCUGAUCUCUGAAAUUGCAAUUGCUACUUCUGUUUUUUUUUCUUUUUCACUAGGAGGAAAUCAUUAUUUCUGGCCCACUUGCAAGGGAAAGUAAAUGUGCUCUAUAUUUUGAAGAAGUAUCAAAUAAUUUGGGUACUAUUUUAAGCCACUAUGUUAUGUAAGUGAGAUUUUUUUUGAAGAAGUUGUCUACUUUUAAAUGCAAAUGUCAAAUUUAUUGAAAUACCAUCAUUAAUAAUAUCCCCUUAUAUCAAUAUUUUAGUUUGUGGUUUAAAUAAACAACAAAGUUGAAAAUUUACAGUGAACACCUGUAAUUUGUAGUUCUAUCAUUAGCAUUGUACUUGGCUUCCUUUGUUAUUCGUUUGUCCACCCCUUCAUCUACUCAUCAAUCCAUUCUUUUUUAAAAAAAAAUUUAUUUGUUCUGCUUAGAUAAACAUUACAGUAGAGUAUAUUUCACAUAUUGUACAUACAUGGAGUGUAAUUUAGGAUACUGUUCUUGUGAUUGUACACGAUGGGGAGUUACACUUGUAGACGUAAAUGCUCUUCUCCCUAAAUAUUUCUGCGUGUAUGCAAUUAACUAUAUUUCUGCAUUCUUACAGUCUAUGUUGUUAGAGGUAAAAUUUAUAUAUAGUAAAAUGCACAAAGUUUAAGUAUGCAUGCAUGGAGUUUGAAAAAUGUAUACACCUGUGUAAUCUGUACUCCAUUAAGGUUAGUGCAUUAUUAUCAUUCAAGAAAAUUUCAUUUGAUUUUUUUGUGGAGAUCCCAGUUUUCUGGUGAAAAUAUCCAUACUUCAAAUUCACCCACCUUUUAUUUUCUUGAUUUUACUAAUCAGAGUUAUUUAAAAAUCUCUAUCAUAGACUCCAAAUCUGGAAUAUUCUAUUUGCUUUUACUGUUUACUUCAUGUCUUCAUUAUUGGUCAUUAUUGUAGUCUGGAUCUGGGAAGUUUCCCAAGACCCAUGUGUUAAAGUCUUAGUCCUCAGCCUGCUACUAUUAGGAAGUAGCAGAAGCUAAGAGGUGGUACUUAGUGAGAGGUCUUAAGUCAUUUGGGGUGUGUCCCUUCAAGGAGAUUGUGGGACCCUAGACUUUUCCUCUUUCUCUCUCUCUUUUGCUUUCCAGCCACGAGGUAGGCAAUUUUCUUUGCUACACACUCCCACCAUGAUGUGUUGCCACAGGCCCACAGUAGUGGGGCAGGGGGGUGUCAAUUGAUUAUGGUCUGAAACCUCUAAAACUGUGAGCCAAGGCAAACUUUUCUCUUCAUAAAUUAUUUCAGGUAUUUCUUACAGUAACAGAAGGUUGACUAAUAUAAUCAUAUACUUUUAACUCUUUAUACAUGGAGUAAUUAUGUGUUAUAUACCAAAUAUUGUGUAUGAAACAUAUGGUUCUUUGGUUUUUAGAUAAUGCUAUCUUUCACCAAAGGUGGUUCUCCUUCCUUCUGUUAGGCAUCAGGAAUGAGAACUGAUCACAAUUCAAUCAGGAACUGAACAUGAUUAGACUUGUAUUGGAGUUCUAGUAAGAUUCAGUCUAUAUUAGUUUUUAUCAUUUCUAAACUUGACCUUUCCAGAUGUUUUAUUGAGUUAGUUAAACUGUUGUCUCUUAACUUUCAAAAGACUUAGAAGUUUUAUUAUCUUCUCUGGAGGAUUUCCAUUUAGCUCUUUAUUUUUCUACCUCAGGUAGCUUCAAAAUAUGACAAAUGUUUUGAAGGGGAGACUAGGUCAGAAAGUAUAUAUCACUGAUAUUAAUGCAAGUCCCUCAAAAAAUAUCUUUGUUUCCUAAGCACCACAGGGUAUAGGUAUAGGAGAUUUCACUUAGCAUUUUUAGAAGCUUUUGUUCUAGUCCUCAGUCCAUACAACUCCAGCAUUCAGCAAAUGUCCUAUGGGUAAAACUGGCCAUGUGUUUGAAGUCCCUCAAGUUUCCAAAUGUCACACCACUCCUUUAAUAACCUUUGAAAGCUUUGAUGGCUCAUUUAUCCCCAACAGAUGCUCUGUGCUUGGACCAAGGCCCAUGACAAGUUGGUGGUCAGAUGCAGAAGAUUCCUGUAGGUUAAAAGUUCCUGGAGAUUGUCAUUUUGCCUCAGCAUGGUUCUGUCCUCUCAGAAAUUUCCCUUUAUCUCACUCUUAUUUCUUCCAUAGCUUCCUGAUAGCCACAAAAUACAAUUUUUAUAAUUAAUAUAUUUUUUUCUAUUUGUUGCUUCAGGAGCAUUUACCUGCCCUACUGUACUGCACUUUACUCAAAAGUCUGUGCUUUAUAAUUUUAAUAUACAUAAGUGCUGUUCUGUUUUAUAUCUCAUUUUUUUCUUAGUUUUGAAACCUUAGCAUUGUCCCUCUAAAGUCAAUCCCUGUUGCUACGUCCAUAGCUAAUUUGUUGUUUCCACUACUGUAUUACACUUAACCUACUCAGUCGUAUAUUGACAGACACUCAUUUUGCUCCUACUCCUUGUAUCGUAAUCAAUGUAAAUUUCCUCUUAUGGUCUCAUAAGAGAAUUUAGUUGAUAUACCCCUCUAGGAAUAGAAUAUCUAGGGAUACUGAUCUAAAAUAGUAUUAUUUUAAUUUAAAUUUCUGUUAAUUAAUUGAAUAUCUCUUAUAUGUGUCUUAACCAUUUAUUUCUACUAACUAUUUAACAUACUUUAAAACUUGACAACUUCAAACAGUGAACAUUUAUGAUUUUCCAGUUUCUGUGGAUCAGGAGUUUGAUAGCAACUUGGCUAGGUUGCUCAGAAUUGCUUACAGAGUUGUGUUCAAGAGAUUGGCUUUGUUCAUUGAAGGCUUGGCUAGGUUUGCAAGAUUCAAAUCCCAGAUAGUUCACUCACAUGAUUUUUGGCAGAAGGGUUCAGUGUGGCAGGAGGCCUUUCUUUCUUGCUGCAUGCCCCUUUCCAUAGUUGUGAUUGAGAGUUCUCACUAUAAGGCAUAUGGCUUUUUCUGAAGUGAGCAAUCCAAGAGAAAACAAGGCAGAAGCAUUAAAAAUCUCAGUCUAUAGAAGAAUCACAGAGAUGCUGUUGAAGACUUUGGAUUUGCCCUUUGUGAAACUGAUGAAGAAGAUGCUGAAGAAAAAAGGUAUAGGAAAUAAGUACUUUAAUCUAGUGACUACAAUAUUCAAUUGAGCCAUGAAGAACUUUGUCAUAUUAAUAUCAUAUAUGCUAGUGCAUGAGAAAAGGAAUGGCUGAUGAGUUGAUGAGUAACUCAGAAAAGUAUAUCUUUUUUAAAGAAUUAAUUUUUUUAGUUAUAGAUGGACAAAAUACCUUUAUUUUGUUUAUUUAUUUUUUUAUGUGGUGCUGAGUAUCAAUCCCAGUGCCUCACACAUGCUAGGCGAGCGCUGUACCACUGAGCCACAACCCCAGCACCAGAAAAGUAUAGUUUUAAUACAAGUUGUUGAACUACUCAAUCCCAUUAUAAAUUCCACAACAAUUGGAAGGGAGCCGACUUGAUGAAAUGACAGCAGCUGUUGGUCAGCAUGUAAUGCACAGCCAUGACAAAUAUAAGGAUAUAGAGCUGUGAUAUGUAGUCUUCAACACAAAGUUGUGUUUUUCUCUAAUAUAAAGUUCAUCAGUAUUUUAGGAGUAAUAAUAAAACAGUUAACAGAGGUCCACAAAUAAUCAAUUUCUGAUGAAGUAGUACAUAGAGGUAUGGAGCUGAUAAGAAAAAUAAAAUGAUCAAGGUUUCCCACUAUGAUGCUCAAAUAGAUUGUUCCUCAAAAAAGAGGAGCUUGGAAGCCUGCUUGCCUUGUUUCUGGGAAUGCAGUCUGUAGAGUAAUAUUCUGCUUUCAUUCUCCUUUAGGUUAGAGGCCUCUCCAGGUACAAGCAUAUCCCCCUUGGGACUGUUUUCUGUGUUUCACUUAUUUUAUUUACUACUAACAUUUUCUAGAAGUCAGGCUUGCUAGGGAGUAUUUCAGAGAUGAGGAUGAUUAGAGGAAGUGGGCAGCAACUGGAGUUUAUACUACCUAUAACCAGCUCACAUAUUUAGAGAUAAUUUUUUUGUGUGUUUCUUGGUUUUGUGAACAUAUAUUUUGCUUUAGUGAUUCCUUCUCAUAUAGGUAAUCUUACAAUUUUUAUCAGAAUGUAAUAAUGUAAAAUAAACAUUAUCGCAAAUCUG